rnacentral:tRNA from 1 species
GUGGGUAUAGCUCAGUGAUAGAGUUCAUGCCUAGCAUGCACAUGGUCCUGGGUUCAAUUCCCAGUACCUCCA